CCCGGCGACCGGCGCACGGGUGAGUAACACGUAUGGAACCUGCCCGCAGCAGGGGGAUAAGCGGAAGAAAUUCCGUCUAAUACCGCGUAACAACCCAUGGAGGCAUCUCUGUGGGUUUAAAGGAAGCGAUUCCGGCUACGGAUGGUCAUGCGUCGCAUUAGCUUGUUGGCGGGGUAACGGCCCACCAAGGCGACGAUGCGUAGGGGUUCUGAGAGGAAGGUCCCCCACACUGGUACUGAGACACGGACCAGACUCCUACGGGAGGCAGCAG
rnacentral:rRNA from 1 species